AUGUUUCUUCGGCGCAGGGCAAUAAAGAAUUUUUCCUAGUUCCAUAAUUGUUUUGCUAUGUAUACUAACAGUUAGUGACUCCGCAGUUGUAGGAUUUGUAUACUUUUAAUCGUUUAUUAUUAUAGAUGAGAUAAUUAUGUGAACCCAUAUUAUAAAUGUGAUGCAUUGUUAAUUAGGCCCGAACUGUGGAAUGUUGUAGCCGAUAAAUUUGGGCCGAGAUUUAAUAAAAUAUUGAGGUUUAUCUUUCAUA
rnacentral:lncRNA from 1 species